rnacentral:rRNA from 1 species
UCGCGGAUCAGCAUGCCGCGGUGAAUACGUUCCCGGGCCUUGUACACACCGCCCGUCACACCACGAGAGCUUGCAACACCCGAAGUCGGUGAGGUAACCCGCAAGGGAGCCAGCCGCCGAAGGUGGGGCAAGUGAUUGGGGUGAAGUCGUAACAAGGUAGCCGUACCGGAAGGUGCGGCUGGAUCACCUCCUUUCUAAGGA